AGUCGGUGAUUUAGGGUUUCCUUUGUGGGUUGGUGGUCUUUGAUUUGGGGUUUGGCCAAGGAGGGUUCAGCUGUAACUCUCUGUCGCCAUCCCUCUCUCUACUUGAAGCCUUAACUGGUGAAGGCGCUUUGUCUCUCUCAUACUCCCAAACCCCAUCUCUUCAACCCUGUUUUCCAACUUCUAAUUCGUAUUUCUCUUUGAUCUUGGCCAGUUUCUUUGUUGUUGGAACCACAAAAACGGAGGUAUUCACAAACGGAACCUGAUCAAAAGGGCUGAAACCAGAUCAAGCUGAGGAUUCUCAUAGCAGUGAGAAAUCCAAAAUCCUGUGAAUAACGCAAUCCAAUGUGCUCGAAGCCUACAUCAGCCUUCAAAAAGUCGCGAAGUAACCCUUCUUUACCUACUUCCUUCAUUUCUUUAUUCUAAUUUUUAUCUCAUUGAAAAGAGCUGGUUUGUUUCUUAUAAAACUAUUUAGUGUUCUUGUGGGGUCCAUGUUGAAUUUGCAGGUAUCAUUAACAUUUUAUUUCAUCCCCCCAAAGAUUUGGACACAAAGGAAUUGAGAGGCAAAUUUGGUUUUGUUGCCUUUUUUUUUUGUCAGUUACAUGUUCUUCAAUUGUGCAGCAGUUUUUGGGUUCAGAGAUAAAAUACUUUUGGGCGUGAUGGAUGACGAUUUGCUUUUGAUGGUCCGCUCUGGUUUUGCAGUGGCGGCGGUGCCAGUGCUAAAUAUGACUCUUCAUUCAUAUUACUUUGUUUUUUGUUAUUUUUCAUUUUAUUUUUCACCUUUGUGCCUUAUUAUUUAUAUAUAGGCGUGCAUCACGAUUUUUAUUUGGAACCUGUUUAAAAUACUCUCUCACUUUUUAGGAGGUCUUGGUUUUUCUCUUUUUUUUU